AACGAACGCUGGCGGCAGGCUUAACACAUGCAAGUCGAGCGCCCCGCAAGGGGAGCGGCAGACGGGUGAGUAACGCGUGGGAAUCUACCCAUCUCUACGGAAUAACGCAUGGAAACGGGUGCUAAUACCGUAUACGUCCUUCGGGAGAAAGAUUUAUCGGAGAUGGAUGAGCCCGCGUUGGAUUAGCUAGUUGGCGGGGUAAAGGCCUACCAAGGCGACGAUCCAUAGCUGGUCUGAGAGGAUGAUCAGCCACACUGGGACUGAGACACGGCCCAGACUCCUACGGGGGGCAGCAGUGGGGAAUAUUGGACAAUGGGCGCAAGCCUGAUCCAGCCAUGCCGCGUGAGUGAUGAAGGCCCUAGGGUUGUAAAGCUCUUUCACCGGUGAAGAUAAUGACGGUAACCGGAGAAGAAGCCCCGGCUAACUUCGUGCCAGCCGCCGCAGUAACAC
rnacentral:rRNA from 1 species